CCUACGGGUGGCAGCAGUGAGGAAUAUUGGUCAAUGGGCUUACGCCUGAACCAGCCAAGUCGCGUGAGGGAAGACUGCCCUAUGGGUUGUAAACCUCUUUUGUCAGGGAGCAACGCCGGCUACGUGUAGCCGGACUGAGAGUACCUGAAGAAAAAGCAUCGGCUAACUCCGUGCCAGCAGCCGCGGUAAUACGGAGGAUGCGAGCGUUAUCCGGAUUUAUUGGGUUUAAAGGGUGCGUAGGCGGAAUGCCAAGUCAGCGGUAAAAUCGCGGGGCUCAACCUCGCUCCGCCGUUGAAACUGGGGAUCUUGAGUGGGCGAGAAGUAUGCGGAAUGCGUGGUGUAGCGGUGAAAUGCAUAGAUAUCACGCAGAACUCCGAUUGCGAAGGUAGCAUACCGGCGCCCGACUGACGCUGAGGCACGAAAGCGUGGGGAUCGAACAGGAUUAGAUACCCCUGUAGUC
rnacentral:rRNA from 1 species